rnacentral:rRNA from 1 species
UACGUAGGGGGCGAGCGUUGUCCGGAGUUACUGGGCGUAAAGGGUCCGUAGGCGGUCAAGCAAGUUGUACGUGACAGUUCCCGGCUCAACUGGGAAAGGAUGUAGAAAACUGCGUGACUUGAGGGCGUGAGAGGAAUGCGGAAUUCCGGGUGGAGUGGUGAAAUGCGUAGAUAUCCGGAGGAACACCAAAGGCGAAGGCAGCAUUCUGGCGCGCAUCUGACGCUCAGGGACGAAAGCUAGGGGAGCGAACGGG